GACGAACGCUGGCGGCGUGCCUAAUACAUGCAAGUAGAACGCACAGUUGAUACCGUAGCUUGCUACACCAUAAACUGUGAGUUGCGAACGGGUGAGUAACGCGUAGGUAACCUGCCUGGUAGCGGGGGAUAACUAUUGGAAACGAUAGCUAAUACCGCAUAAUAUCGAUUAUUGCAUGAUAAUUGAUUGAAAGAUGCUAUUGCAUCACUACCAGAUGGACCUGCGUUGUAUUAGCUAGUAGGUGAGGUAACGGCUCACCUAGGCGACGAUACAUAGCCGACCUGAGAGGGUGAUCGGCCACACUGGGACUGAGACACGGCCCAGACUCCUACGGGAGGCAGCAGUAGGGAAUCUUCGGCAAUGGACGAAAGUCUGACCGAGCAACGCCGCGUGAGUGAAGAAGGUUUUCGGAUCGUAAAGCUCUGUUGUAAGAGAAGAACGGGUGUGAGAGUGGAAAGUUCACACUGUGACGGUAUCUGACCAGAAAGGGACGGCUAACUACGUG
rnacentral:rRNA from 1 species